UCAGAAAUAAUUACGGAUUUAAAAAUUACUCUGUUUCAGUCAGGAAGUGGAUUUUCAUCCGAUUUCCUACUUCUGUUGGUCAAAUGCACCCAAGUUAGCUGCCCCUCACUGCAAAGGCUUCCACCUCAAUAUGCAGUAGCAGCCACUACUCACAGCUGAUCUGCAGGCCUCAGCACGUGAUGGGUGCUUUCCAACCCAGCCUAACAAUAGCAUGAGGGAAAGACAAGUAGUAAGACAUGCCACAUUACCAAGAACAGGACGACAGGUUGCUUGCUUGAGCAAGUAGACUUUGCAAUCCUUUAGAAAAUUCAAGACCAUGUCU